AAUUUUAUUUCUUUUUCUUUUCAAUUUUUUUUUUUUCAAUCAAUCUUAAAGUACCUUAAGAUUAUUUAAAACAUUGUUAAAUGGAAAGCAUAGGAUAGUGUUAAAUAUAAGAAUUCUUUUUCAAUCAUUCUUAUUUUUUUUUCCUUUUUUCAUAUUCGAAUCUUCAAAGUAUAUACAUAUCAAACACAUAUAUUCAUCAAUAUAUCAAAUAUUAUUUCCAAAUCUCUCUAUAUCUUUUAAAAUUAAUAUAUUGUAAAAUUUUAUUCCAAUUGUUAUUAUGAUUUUUUAGUCUGAGAAUAGCUACGACAAGAAUUUAUAAGCUGUGAAAAGACAAAAGACAAAUAUGACAACACAAGGAAAGAAGCAGAGAUUAGAAAUCUAUUUCCACUGGACAUGGUUCUGAAAAUUCUAUCAGAUAUAAUAAGCUCUUUGGCGAGUUCUUCUUCUAUUAUUUAUCUUGGAGUAAAAAUUUCAAAAAUUGUUCUUAAAAAAAACUAUGAAAAGUGAACAAACCUCGUAUUCCCGAGUCUGCUCUCUUCGUUCUUCCAUACCCAUCCAUCGUCUUCGACAGCCAUUACGAUCAUUGUGACGCAACAAAAGAGGAACAGAAUGGCCAUCGUUUUACGGGAAACGCGAUUUCGUAAAAAAGAGAACGAUAGUCAGCUUCACCAACGAAUAUUGUCGACAGUCGACUAAAA